GAGCGCCCCGCAAGGGGAGCGGCAGACGGGAUAGUAACACGUGGGAACGUACCCUUCAGUUCGGAACAACCAAGGGAAACUUUGGCUAAUACCGAAUACGUCCGUAAGGAGAAAGAUUUAUCGCUGAAGGAUCGGCCCGCGUCUGAUUAGCUAGUUGGUGAGGUAACGGCUCACCAAGGCGACGAUCAGUAGCUGGUCUGAGAGGAUGAUCAGCACCACUGGGACUGAGACACGGCCCAGACUCCUACGGGAGGCAGCAGUGGGGAAUAUUGGACCAUGGGCGCAAGCCUGAUCCAGCCAUGCCGCGUGGAUGAUGAAGGCCCUAGGGUUGUAAAGUCCUUUCGACGGGGAAGAUAAUGACG
rnacentral:rRNA from 1 species